rnacentral:tRNA from 4 species
GGAUCCUUAGCUCAGUUGGUAGAGCGCUUCGCUUACAUCGAAGAUGUCGCAGGUUCGAGCCCUGCAGGAUCCA